AUUGAACGCUGGCGGCGAUGCUUUACACAUGCAAGGUCGAACGGCAGCAACGGGCUUCGGCCUGGUGGCGAGUGGCGAACGGGUGAGUAAUGCAUCGGAACGUGCCCAGUGUUGUGGGGGAUAACUACGCGAAAGCGUGGCUAAUACCGCAUACGCCCUGAGGGGGAAAGCGGGGGAUUCUUCGGAACCUCGCGCAAUUGGAGCGGCCGAUGUCAGAUUAGCUUGUUGGUGAGGUAAAGGCUCACCAAGGCGACGAUCUGUAGCGGGUCUGAGAGGAUGAUCCGCCACACUGGGACUGAGACACGGCCCAGACUCCUACGGGAGGCAGCAGUGGGGAAUUUUGGACAAUGGGGGCAACCCUGAUCCAGCCAUGCCGCGUGAGUGAAGAAGGCCUCGGUU
rnacentral:rRNA from 1 species